rnacentral:rRNA from 1 species
CCUACGGGUGGCAGCAGUAGGGAAUUUUCGUCAAUGAGCGCAAGCUUGAUCGAGCGAUGCCGCGUGAACGAUGAAGGUCUUCGGAUCGUAAAGUUCUGUUGUAAGGGAAGAACAUCUGCAAUAGGAAAUGAUCUCCGACUGACGUUACCUUGUCAGGAAGUGAUGGCUAACUAUGUGCCAGCAGCCGCGGUAAUACGUAGGUGGCGAGCGUUAUCCGGAAUGAUUGGGCGUAAAGCGUUCGUAGGCUGUCUGUUAAGUCUGGAGUGAAAUGUAGGGGCUCAACCGGGGCUCGCUUUGGAUACUAGCAAACUAGAGUGAGAGAGAGGUAAGCGGAACUCCAUGUGAAGCGGUAAAAUGCGUAGAUAUAUGGAAGAACACCAGUGGCGAAGGCAGCUGACUGGGUUGAUACUGACGCUGAGGGACGAAAGCGUGGGGAGCAAACAGGAUUAGAUACCCGUGUAGUC